rnacentral:rRNA from 1 species
UUAUGGCUCAGGAUGAACGCUGGCGGCGUGCUUAACACAUGCAAGUCGAACGGAGUUUUAACGGAAGUUUCGGAUGGAAGUUAGAACUAGUGGCGGACGGGUGAGUAACGCGUGGGUAACCUGCCUCAUACAGGGGGAUAACAGUUAGAAAUGACUGCUAACACCGCAUAAUAUAGCGAAACCGCAUGAUUUUGCUAUCAAAUAUUUAUAGGUAUGAGAUGGGCCCGCGUCUGAUUAGCUAGUUGGUGGGGUAAAAGCCUACCAAGGCGACGAUCAGUAGCCGGCUUGAGAGAGUGACCGGCCACAUUGGGACUGAGACACGGCCCAAACUCCUACGGGAGGCAGCAGUGGGGAAUAUUGGACAAUGGGGGAAACCCUGAUCCAGCGAACCGCCGCGUGAGUGAAGAAGUAUUUCGGUAUGUAAAGCUCUAUCAGCAGGGAAGAUAAUGACAGUACCUGACUAAGAAGCCCCGGCUAACUACGUGCCAGCCGCUGC